rfam:Beta vulgaris subsp. vulgaris Bvchr3.sca006.con0059.1, whole genome shotgun sequence.
AGACCAUGAUGGGGACAUUCUCUCUGAAGAUCUUUAAAUCUUUCCCAUGCCUCAUGUAAAGACUCAUCAGUCCCUUGGGUGAAGUUUGUAAUCUGACUACGCAACCU